rnacentral:rRNA from 1 species
UACGAAGGGUGCAAGCGUUACUCGGAAUUACUGGGCGUAAAGCGUGCGUAGGUGGCGCGUUAAGUCUGUCGUGAAAGCCCCGGGCUCAACCUGGGAAUGGCGAUGGAUACUGGCGCGCUAGAGUGCGGUAGAGGAGAGUGGAAUUCCCGGUGUAGCAGUGAAAUGCGUAGAGAUCGGGAGGAACAUCAGUUGCGAAGGCGACUUCCUGGCCUGUUCUUGACGCUGAGGCGCGAAAGCUAGGGUAGCAAACGGG